AGCGAACGCUGGCGGUAGGCCUAACACAUGCAAGUCGAACGGCAGCACAGUAAGAGCUUGCUCUCACGGGCGUCGAGUGGCGGACGGUUGAGGUAUACAUCGGAAUCUACCUUUUCGUGGGGGCUAACGUAGGGUAACUUACGCUAAUACCGCAUAUGACCUCCGGGUGUAAGCAGGGGAUCUUCGGACCUUGCGCGAUUGUAUGAGCCGAUGUCGGAUUAGCUAGUUGGCGGGGUAGAGGCCCACCUAGGCGACGAUGCGUAGCUGGUCUGACAGGAUGGACAGACACACUGGAACUGAGACACGGUACACACUCCUACAGGAGGCAGCAGUCGGGAAUCUUGCACGAUGCGGGAGAGCCUGAUACAGCCAUACCGCGUGGGUGAAGAAGGCCUUCGGGUUGUAGAGCCCUUUAGUUGGGAGAGAAGAACAGCAGGUUAAUACCCGGCGAUUCUGACAGUACCCAGAGAAUAAGCACCGGCUAACUUCGUG
rnacentral:rRNA from 1 species